AUAAGACCCAUUUUUUUCCAGUAAUCAAAAUAUGUUACCUCCCUUGAGAUACUGAUAGCCAAAAUUGUCAAAUGUGGGGUUUUUUUGGAAUUUUUCAGGCUGGGAAUAUUUAAGACAACUUCCAGAAGAUCCUUGUCUGCAUUCUGCACUAAGUCUCUCUUGAUAAAUAUAUUUAAUGUGAUCCCAUGCAAGACAAAAUGAGACUACUCCUUUCUCAGAAGUACUCACCAGCUGCAAUGCAGUCGUAUUCUGUAUUGCUCAGUACAUAAUCAGUAUAAUUGUAGUGGUAGAUGAGUCUCUACAGAUUAUUUAGCUCUGCUGAGAAGCCAGUUGGUCAAUUGAGGUCUCGCUAGGUGUUAAAACCCUCCACUGUAUAGAUGUAUCUACAGACCUGUUCUUAUUACUCCUGUGAGGUAAUUUAGAAAUGCGGCAACUUCUGUGUCCUCUUGCAAACAUGAACUACAAGAAACCAGUCUCUCUCUCCCCUUCUCUCUGCAGCAGACACUUGGGGAUCCCUGAGGCUCCGGCCUUGCUCAGCAGCCUGUGCCACUCACCUGUACCUCCUGAUCUUCAUAAUAAAAGGGAAAAGUCUUUUCAGAACGUGUGUGGCAAGGAGCUCUCUCCACCUGACCACUGUGCCUUUGCUCUGCCCAUGAGACAUGGCUCAAGUUGAUGUUACCUCCUGCACAGAAAGAAAAGAGGAAAGCAUUGCUCUGAGAACUCACCAAAGGCCUAUGUUUCUUCUUCAUGCCCCAGGUGCAGCCUGUCCGCUGAGACUGUACAAGGAGUGGGCAAGAGCCUCCAUGGGUCACCUUUUAUUAAGAGACAGAGCCUACUGAGAAACAGAUGAAAACACAGUUGAUAUUGGGAACACAAUCCAGUAUGUUCUUAAGAAGGCAGUGAAAAGACAAGGUAAGCCCAAAGAACAAGUCUGACUGCAGAAGUUGAAUGUUUUAUUUACAUUGAAUCAUUUCUCAGACAGCAUACACUGAAAAACAAAAUAACUUGUGGAAUGCUCAGGAUUACAAAGUUUCUCUUGAAAGAGAAGAAAACAUUCACUCUCAUGUGAAGGACCAUAAUCUCUUGCCAUUUACUCAUAUGCCUGCUCAAGGAGAUAUGUUGCCAUCUUUUACUAAUACUAGGUCUAUUUCCUCUCUUUAGUAAAUAUAUUUUUUAGAUUUUAAUUGAAAUUUCAGAAAUAGGAAUGUCUUUUGUUGUCCUUGUUUUUGUUGUGCUCAUUCCACAAUGGAGAUUUAGCUUUUAUUUAGACUGGAUGACCCAAUACAUUCAGUUCAGCAGCUAGAUUGACUGUCACUGAGUUGUCAAAUGCCUGUUAUGAACAGUAUAGGGAAGAAGAACAAGUUGACCUUGAACUUGCUAAAUGUUUUAUGAAUACUACCCAUUUCCAGAAAAAUAUGAAUAUGUUUUCCAGAUUUGCUCUUUUUCCUUUCCUUAAGGCUGUUUGUAGUAACAAAUACCUUUCAUCUUACUGAGAUGCUUGUUACAUGGAAGGUUUGGGAAGGGGAAAACAUUUUAAUGAUGAAUUUAAUGCUUGUGGGUUGUAAAAGAUGGAUUAUAUUGUAGUCUGAAUUCCUGGACUUAGCCAAAGGCUAUGGAGAAUAUUGCAGCUAUAAUGCUAACAUUGCUUCCUGAGUCCUGUCAAAUUCUUUUUUAUAAUUUGCCAUUACUGGUGUGAUUUGGUCUUGGUGACUAUUCUUUCCUUGUAAUUGGCUUUUUUAUUGUUAAGUAAAGUCAUAUUAGAUAAUACUAUUUAAAUAGAUUAAAUAAAAGCAAUCAUAGUUUUGAUCUCUCCA
ensembl:lncRNA